rfam:Drosophila pseudoobscura pseudoobscura strain MV2-25 unplaced genomic scaffold Tnknown_group_764, whole genome shotgun sequence.
CAGAGCGGAUCGAGCCCGUUGCGAAUCGAACUUGGUUCGAGCUCGAGCGGCGGGUCGAUCCGUGCCG